rnacentral:lncRNA from 1 species
GACGUUUAUAGGAUGUAUUAGAUGUGUGAAAAAUUUCAUUGGAAAAUAUUGAGGUUUGAUUGAGCAAAUGAAUUUUCUUGAGAAACUAGCAAAUCUGGAAAACUGUUCGCGUAUGAUUCUGACCAGUGGUAGUAUUUCGGCUAUAACUCUGUCCUCGGAUGUCGAAAUCAUGUGCCGUCGGUGGCGUUUGAAACUAGACAUUCCUGGCUUUAAUUUGGUAUAUAAUGCACGUUCUGAUUCUUUGUGAGCAAGCCGAACCACAUGUUUUAAGUUCGCUGUCCUGUUGCUCUGUUCAUCUGUAAUGAAGUGUUCAGGCAGCAACUUGAUGCCCGAUUUUGCACCAGAUGGGUGCCGAAUUUGGAAACGAUUUCUUUUGUGAUAUUUUAUUGCUAUGAAUGUACUUUCCAACGGCGUAAGCCAUGCUCGAUUUCGAGUUAUAUUGACUGAGUUGUGACUGAAACAAGUGGACUGCUCUGUUUUGGAAAAACCCUAAUGUUGGACUGGUUUGGAACAAGAUCUUGGAGUGAACUUGUUAAUUGAUGUUCUUGAUACUAAACACUUACCAAAGGCAUUAUGGUUGUUUCUUAGGCCUUUAUUUCACAAAUGAACCAUGAUUGGAUAGUUUGCUUGAUUAAACGUUUUGAAAUGGGUAAUGAAAGUCUCAAGGCAGAUUGCCUUAUAAUUUUCCUGAACUUUGGUUGACUAAUUAACUAUCUUUCCGAAAGUAUUUUUCCCUGAAAUUUGAUAGAACGGUACCUUUCAUAUGGGAGUAAAAUACUGCCAAUUUUUGUACCAAUCCAAGUUCGUUUCGAUACCCAAUUAAAUUGCUAGAGUUGGAGGUUCAAAUCUGGAAAUUCUUCUCCAGUCUUGAAUUUCCCCAACUUUGAGCUACCGUAUCUCGGUACUCGAAACUCCGAUUCUUGAUCUGCUUGUUUUGUUAUAAACCUCACUUGUAACACUAAUUGAGCUACAAAUUUCAGAGGCCGGUUUGCAACGUGUGAAUCGUGCCGAAUUUCCAAAGUUGGCCGAAAUCCAACUUAAUUCUGCCAUGAAAACCAACCCUGCGUCUUCAAACUCAUUUUUGAACACUUUUCACUUCGAUUCAUAGAAAAGUGUCUUCUAGGGACUUAUAGUACUUUCUAAGAGGUUUCCAACGGUAUAAAGUUUUCCAAUUCUUGACUUAUACCGAGCGAGUUAUGAUUUUUCAAAAAUUCAUAAUAAAACUGAAAAUUUUCCAAUUUCAAAGAAAUAGAGUUUUUCAAGAACUCUUUAUUCUUUUGAUAUUCUUAAACGUUUUGCCCUCGAUUCUCAUGAUAAAAACUCAAAUAAUAUUGUACCUAAUAAAAGGCAAGUCGAACCUCGAUUUACGUGUAAUCGAGGUUCCCUUUUCGAAAUAAUCCUUAAAUUGUACUAGUGUACAAUCUUCUUGAUAAGUGGGUUAAUUGUGUAAUUAUCCACUAUUAAUUGCCAGGCGCACAAGGAGACCUUCAAGAGGAACUCACAGUGGACACUUGAACUCCCAGAAAAUAAUUCUUAUUGAAUAGCUCGGUGAGUGUCAAGUGUGUGAAAUUUGAUACUUGCUUAUUUGUGAUAAUUGUUGGAAGUUUUAAGAAUAAGGGCGGGUGCGUACUUUAUCGCGCUCGUUCUAAUUUCAAAUGAAUGAAUGAAAUGUAUUGAAUGAAUGAAUGAAAUGAAAUGUUAUGUCAUGAAUGCAUGUGUCGUUGGAGUGAAACUCCUCGACUUUCUAAUAAAUGGGGGACGCCCAAACUCAUAGGCCGACCUUGGACUCGAGCCGGCAAUGGGCUUGGUCGGGAACCUAGGCGAGCCAUGAGCCAUAUAAGCUCGACCUAAUAAGAGGUCCUGCUUGGCAUACUCGUAGAGUAUCGCCUUAUAAUAGACUUGUGGGCCCUUGGGGUGUACGGUGGACGGAGGGAAGUAAGUGGUGAUCUACGGAAAUGGAAAUACCGACCCGGUUGACAGGAGGGUCAAUGCGGGAAAGUAUACGAAUGACAUCAACAGAGCGAGUGGAACUUAGCUCCUGAGAGCUACUAUAUCCUUGAAUUGUUUCUGAUUUACUUUUCCUGCUCGAAUGAUUGAUUAAUGAAAUAUCCUGGUUUUAUUUAAUGAAUUUGGGAUUGCUAUUUGAACAAAGUGCUUGCAUGUGUGUUCUUGGCCUCACGAGCAUUUUGCUCACCCUAUAGUUUUGUUUUCCUUAACAGGAUCGAAUCUCGGAGAAGUUUGGAGAAACCCUUCGCUGUACUUUUGUUUUAAGGUUUCUAUUAUAUUUUGGCUAUGCCCUUUGUUGGGGUUGUACUUUUGGAAUUGAAGUGUAACUUUUGGGCCUGACGUAUAUUUGGGAUUUAAAUUGUAUCUUGAACGCCCUAUCUAUGGGUUGGAUAAUGGAUGACUGUUAAGCUUGAACGCUUCCGCAUUUUUGUGUUUAUGUUAUUCUAUCUUGUUGUGACGUUCGGUUUGGUAUUAAGUUGAAUGGAAUUGCUUGAGUCCUGGCGAGAGCUGGGCAGGCGUCCCGCGGAUACCCUUUGGUUCGCUUUAGGGAGAUGUGGGGGCGUCACAGUUGGUAUCAGAGCUUAGGCUUCAGAUCUCUGUAGCGUAUUCUAGGCUUAAAGUUUAGGAUGCCUGACUGUGGGAUUAAUUUGAAUAUUAUGUGAACAAGGAUCUAUUGUAUCUUAGGGGUUAAAGAAAUUGAUUAUUUAGGAGUUCUUAUUUGGGACUUGCAGAAGAAACUGAGGAAUUAGGUGAUGUUAUAUUGAAGGAAGAUAUGGGAUGAGAGAUUUAAAGUGAAAGAUUGGAUGAAUUUGAAUUAUCAUUAUAUUUGUAAGUGUGUAAAGAAUUGAGAUAAUUAUUAGUACUGGCUAUGGAGGAUAAGAGACCGAGAUUUGAUAGUCAAACUCCAUGUGUGAUGAUUUUGAACCAAGAUAAAAGUACAAAGGAAUAAAAUGCAUUUUCCGCCCGCAUAUCUUCUAAAGAAAUUCUGCUUUGAAAAUUUAAAGAAAAACUAGGAUGUACUAGUUUUAUUUGUAAGUGAUGAGUGGAAAUAAGAUAUAUAUUCUUUAAAUAUGUGUAAUUUUCCGAUUUUGGUAAAAAGGUGAGUUUUACUUGAAUUUCAAAUUUGAAAAUUUGUGAAUAACUAAUGAGUUGUUGAACUUUGUAUAUGAUGGGUUAAUACAAGAUUAACAUUUUCUAAGCUAAGUUUUCCCCCUUGAUUGUAUAUUGGUGUAAUCUCACACUUGAAUUUGUCCAUGCUUUACACGAAGAAAAAUAUAUAUAUAUAUCCUGAGUUUUCGAAAGAAUGGCAAGGUUAUGUUUAAUAAUGUGAAUCCUGAACUUGAUAAGAUUUCUGAUUACUUGAAAUACUCUUCUUAUGUUUUAAAAUUCUUGACUUUCAAGAAGAGUGAGCCAAUUUUAAAUGUACGGACUGAGGCAACUUUGAGAUAUAGAGCAACUGCAUUCAAGAGUACAAGUUAGUGUGAAUUGAUUUGGUUUCCAUUUGACACGUAAGGUAGCAAGUUGUACUUAUUCUUGGGUUUGAACUUGGAGCUUGAAACUUUAAUUACAAAACCCUAAGACUGGUUAUUUUUGGAGAUGAUGGUGUUCCGAUUGGUGGCUGGUUAUUAAAGAUUUUGAACUUCGAAUGGAUAAUCUUGGUUUUAGCUUGCGUUAUGGCUUUAUUGGAUCUAAUUUCGUAAAGGCGUGUGAUCUGAUUGAAAUUAGUGAUGUGUGGACCCUUUGGUUUAACUAUGGACUUAGAAAGGGGUAGUGCACGCUGUGAGGCCUUUUGUAUCCUGCUUGUAUGUACUUAUAUAUUUUUGUGGCACUUAAUUGCCUAUGUGCAAUAUUGGACAUAUUGGUCUUGUUUUGUAACUUCUAACCGUGCUAUAACUUUUGAUACAUGUAAUGAAUCAUGACCUGAUUUAAAUGUUUUUGCAACUUGUAUACGCGUUACGCUCUUUAUGCUUAGUUAUGCCUUUUCCUGUGCUUAUAGACUUUUCUUAAGUAGGGUAGCAGGAAUGAGAAAAGGGGACCGUGACCGAGGGCUUAGACAACCCUGUACUUGUGAGACAAAUUGAUAGACAGUUUCAUAUAAUUUAAUAGGUCCCUAGUACUGAAUAUGAAUCGAACAUAAACCCGAAGAUCCGAUCUACUAGUGUAUAAUGGAUUAACCUAGCCGGAAACUUGGUGAGAUUUUCUUGUGCGCAACAUAUGUUAUGAUUGGUUCUGUGCCAAUAUAUCAAUCUUAGGAAGUUUGAACUCCGAAAGUAUUGCAGUGGGUUGGUAAGAGAACUCGAACUGCCUGAAACCGAUUAGACUGAGCUUACUUGAGACUUGAACCUGUUUAGGCUAGUGUGCUCUUGCGUAUCCUCAAUGGACCUAAUUUGACUGAAUAUAUGGAAGGUGGACUUGAAUUUUGUGACUGUUUAAGAAUGUGAAUUGCUGGACAGAGGUUAGGCCAGUGUGUUCUUACUCGUACUCAUGACCCUUGAAUUUGAACUUGAACUUGCACUUGAACUUGAACUUAUAUUUUUGUUCGUACUCACGCACCAUGAACCUGAAGUAUUUGGCUCUGCUUUGACCCUACUCUUGAACUUAUUCGUACUGGUGUGGUUGUAGACCGGUUACUACUCUUCUGUAGCGGUUGAACUGAACCUCUCUGGUGGGGCAUUGCUUGUUGUGUUGUCCAGCACCACUAGGGAUGAACUUUUGAUUUGAAGCUUCGCUAUAUCCUGAAUUUCUUCCAAAUGUCUGGGACUUUACGUCCGACUUCAAGCCUUUUGCCUGUUUUAUCUGAUUACGCGAUUAAUUCCCUAUUGGACCAUGACUAUUUGAUAGGUUGGAUUGGUGUGAUAUGUAGUACUUGAACCUGAUAAGUGAUUAUUAAAUAAACCAUGCUUUGCUGGAUGUAAAGGGUAAGUUAGCCUCGUCUGCACUUAUUUCGGGAAUUCGGGCUAGAAAAUUGUUAAAUAAGGGAGCUCAAGGAUAUUUGGCUUUUCUUAUUAAUACCCGUAGCGAUAAGGUGAAUCUGGAGGACACACCGGUAGUGAAAGAAUUUUCCGAUGUUUUUCCUGAAGAAUUGGAGUCCCUACCCCCGGAACGGGAAAUAGCUUUUAAGAUUGAUGUAGCUCCGGGAACAGCACCUAUCUCAAGGACACCAUAUCGGAUGGCUCCAGCUGAAUUAAAGGAAUUGAAGUUACAAUUACAGGAUCUGUUGGAACGAGGUUUUAUACGAGAGAGUGAUUUCCCGUGGGGAGCCCCGAUUUUGUUUGUAAAGAAGAAAGAUGGGAAUUUGAGGCAACGUAGAUGGAUGGAAUUUCUGGAAGAUUAUGAUUGUACGAUUAAGUACCACCCUGGAAAGGCCAAUGUAGUGGCCGAUGCUCUAAGCCGUCAGGUACAAAUGGCUGGAUUGAUGGUUAAGGAAUUUCAAUUGUUGGAGGAAGUUAGCUAUUGGAAUCCUCGAUUAGAACCAAGGAAAGUGAUUUUGGAGAAUAUUGUGAUAACCUCCACUUUAUUGGAACGUAUUAAGGAAUCUCAGGAAAAGGACCCUGAAAUGCAAAAGUUGGUGGAGAAAGUCAAGAUGGGAGACCAGACCGAUUUCACUUUGGGAUCAGAUAGAAUAUUGAGAUUUUGAAAUCGGGUGGUUAUGCCAAAGGAUGAAGGGCUUAGGAAAGAAAUUUUGGAAGAGGCACACCGAUCAAAGUUUACAGUACAUCCAGGAGGGAAUAAAAUGUACCAAGAUUUGAAAAGUAUAUAUUGGUGGAAAAAUAUGAAAAAGGAAAUUGCCCAAUUUGUUCAGACAUGCUUGGUUUGUCAACAGGUUAAAGCCGAACAUCAGAAACCAUCAGGACUUUUGCAACCUCUAGAAAUACUUGAGUGGAAGUGGGAGAAUAUAACCAUGGAUUUUGUAUCAGGCUUACCAAGGACACAGAGAGGCCAUGAUGCCAUUUGGGUGAUAGUGGAUAGAUUGACUAAAUCAGCUCAUUUUCUACCGAUUAACAUAAAGUAUUCAUUGGAGAAUUUGGCCAGAUUGUACUUGGAUGAGAUCAUCAGACUACAUGGUAUACCUGUGAGUAUUGUGUCAGAUAGGGACCCAAGAUUGUUUCGAGGUUUUGGCAAAAGAUGCAAGAAGUGUUGGGGACUAAGUUAAACUUUAGUACCACCUAUCAUCCUCAGACUGAUGGACAAUCUGAAAGAACAAUUCAGACCCUUGAGGACAUGUUGAGGACUUGUGUAUUGGAUUUUGGAGAGAAUUAGAGUAAGUUUUUGACUUUAGUGGAAUUUGCCUAUAACAAUAGUUUCCACUCUUCUAUUCAAAUGGCUCCAUAUGAAGCGCUUUAUGGUCGAAAGUGUAGAUCCCCGAUUUGUUGGGAUGAAGUAGGUGAACGAAAAAUUUUUGACCCGACUACUGUAUCUUGGAUUGAGGAGGCUAAUGAAAAGGUAAAAUUGGUACGGCAAAAGAUUCAAACAGCUCAGAGUAGACAAAAAAAAGUUAUGCCGACAAUCGGAGAAAGGAUUUGGAGUUCACUGUUGGAGAUAUGGUAUUUCUCAAGAUUACGCCUUUAAAAGCAAGCUUGAUGUCCGGAAAAGGGAAGAAACUACAACCAAUGUUUGUAGGACCUUACAAGGUUAUCCAACGAGUUGGGAAUGUAGCUUAUAAGCUAGAAUUACCACCGAGCUUAUCUCGUAUUCAUAACGUGUUUCAUGUGUCCAUGCUUAAGAAGUAUCAUCCAGACCCCUCUCAUGUUUUACAACCGGAGAAUAUUGAGAUCGAUGAAACCCUAACCUAUGAGGAGAGACCGGUAAAACUUCUGGAUCGAAAGGUGAAGGAAUUGAGGAACAAGCAGAUACCACUAGUGAAAGUUCUAUGGAAGAACCAUGGAGUAGAGGAAGCAACAUGGGAAGUUGAAGAGACAAUCAGAGAGAAGUAUCCAGACUUGUUCAUCGACCAAGGUAAAUUUCGAGGACGAAAUUUUCUUAAGGAGGAGAGGAUGUGAGGACUCGCAAAAAAAAAAACUAUUAUUUUAUGCCUAAUUUAUGGCUUAAUGAAUUAUUUAAUUGGAUUUCUAUUCCAAGGAAUACUUUCUAGUCUUAUUAGACCUAAAUACAUGGUAAUAUAACUUCGUUAUAUUUUUAAAAUGAUUCGUUUCGAAAAUUAAUUUCCUGGAGCGCGUUUCGUAAAAAUAGUGAAUAGUACUUGGAGAUUUUAUCCGCGUAGUAGCACAAUAAGCUUGGAAUAUUGGAGACUUGUACUAUGGUCCUAAAAUAGGUAAUCUUAGGUAUAAAUAUUCAAGUGAUAGUUAGUAGUGCAAUCGUUAUAAGAAUUUUUCGAAAGUUUCGCGUUAUAACGUCAAAUUUGACGGUACGCGUUUUCACACGCGUGACUUUAUUUGAGGGACUUUAGACCCUUAUUUUGGGACAAUUAAGAGUGAAUAAUACUUACAUGAAUAUUAAGGCAUUGGAGGUUUAGUGCACUAGUGAACCAAACGCGCGAAAAAAUCGAGCCGUAAUCGCACCAAACGGCCCCUAAUGAGAGUUGACUUUUGGGUGAAUUUCCACCACUUGUUUUACCUUCUCUUGGAAGCUAAAGGAAAGUCUGAUCACUCUCUCUCCUCCUCUCAAGACAGCCGACCAAACACCCUCCUCUCUCUAACUCAUUUGCUUCAAAAUUUCUGCUCACUAAUCUCACUCAAAACCACCCCAAAUCAUCUCCAAAUUCAACCAAACUUGCACCACACCUAACUUGAUACUUGAGGAGCAUUUUGAGCUGCAAACAAGGGCUGGAAAUCACGAUUUUUCUGGGGCAAUAGAGGGCCGAAAAUUCUGCUGAACAUCAACCCAAAGUAAGUGAUGAUCCACUCUUGAAAACUUGAAGUUUGGAAGCUAUCUUACCUUGUUAAGUUCAUGCAUGCAUUUGGUUAGCUUGUGUAUGGUGUAAAAAUGUGAUUGUGGGCUCUUUGUAUUCCCACACUUGGGUUGUUGUUGCUGAUGUGAUGAUUGAUGGUGGUUAUAUUGUUGGUUUAGUGGUUAAAAUGAUGCAUUAGUGGUGGGUAAUUAGUAGAAACUUCAUUGGGUGUAAGAAGCUAAAAUUUCCGAUUUUGCCCCUGCCAUGUUCGGACAUUUCCAGGCCAAUUUUUAAUGGUCUAACGGCUUGAAUUGGACGUUUAUAGGAUGUAUUAGAUGUGUGAAAAAUUUCAUUGGAAAAUAUUGAGGUUUGAUUGAGCAAAUGAAUUUUCUUGAGAAACUAGCAAAUCUGGAAAACUGUUCGCGUAUGAUUCUGACCAGUGGUAGUAUUUCGGCUAUAACUCUGUCCUCGGAUGUCGAAAUCAUGUGCCGUCAGUGGCGUUUGAAACUAGACAUUCCUGGAUUUAAUUUGGUAUAUAAUGCACGUUCUGAUUCUUUGUGAGCAAGCCGAACCACAUGUUUUAAGUUCGCUGUCCUGUUGCUCUGUUCAUCUGUAAUGAAGUGUUCAGGCAGCAACUUGAUGCCCGAUUUUGCACCAGAUGGGUGCCGAAUUUGGAAACGAUUUCUUUUGUGAUAUUUUAUUCCUAUGAAUGUACUUUCCAACGGCGUAAGCCAUGCUCGAUUUCGAGUUAUAUUGACUGAGUUGUGACUGAAAAAAGUGGACUGCUCUGUUUUGGAAAAACCCUAAUGUUGGACUGGUUUGGAACAAGAUCUUGGAGUGAACUUGUUAAUUGAUGUUCUUGAUACUAAACACUUACCAAAGGCAUUAUGGAUGUUUCUUAGGCCUUUAUUUCACAAAUGAACCAUGAUUGGAUAGUUUGCUUGAUUAAACGUUUUGAAAUGGGUAAUGAAAGUCUCAAGGCAGAUUGCCUUAUAAUUUUCCUGAACUUUGGUUGACUAAUUAACUAUCUUUCCGAAAGUAUUUUUCCCUGAAAUUUGAUAUAACGGUACCUUUCAUAUGGGAGUAAAAUACUGCCAAUUUUUGUACCAAUCCAAGUUCAUUUCGAUACCCAAUUAAAUUGCUAGAGUUGGAGGUUCAAAUCUGGAAAUUCUUCUCCAGUCUUGAAUUUCCCCAACUUUGAGCUACCGUAUCUCGGUACUCGAAACUCCGAUUCUUGAUCCGCUUGUUUUGUUAUAAACCUCACUUGUAACACUAAUUGAGCUACAAAUUUCAGAGGCCGGUUUGCAACGUGUGAAUCGUGCCGAAUUUCCAAAGUUGGCCGAAAUCCAACUUAAUUCUGCCAUGAAAACCAACCCUGCGUCUUCAAACUCAUUUUUGAACACUUUUCACUUCGAUUCAUAGAAAAGUGUCUUCUAGGGACUUAUAGUACUUUCUAAGAGGUUUCCAACGGUAUAAAGUUUUCCAAUUCUUGACUUAUACCGAGCGAGUUAUGAUUUUUCAAAAAUUCAUAAUAAAACUGAAAAUUUUCCAAUUUCAAAGAAAUAGAGUUUUUCAAGAACUCUUUAUUCUUUUGAUAUUCUUAAACGUUUUGCCCUCG